UUGGUAUUCAUAGUUUGUGCCUCGAGUUGGGAAAACAAUUUGUUUGUGUACCCGUGCAUACUAGAGUGCUUCAGAAUCUACUACAUUUCUUGAUUUUAAUGUUUUGCUCUCCUCAUGCAGGUACACAACAGUAGAUGUCGUGCCUUUCUAAGCAGCAUUUUUGAUGUGUUACUAGGUUUGUUAGGAGCCUCAUGUGCUAUUUAUAGGUUGACAUGCUCUUUGCCUGGUUGACCUGCUUCACCUUGUGCGUCCUACUGCGGAAUCAUUUUCACUCUGGUUCGUCAUACUCAUGGAGGAGGUCAGCCAGCGAUGCGGCUCAUGGUGUUCGUACUCGCCUUCCCAUGCCAUUAAGAUGGAAUGUACAACACCUCAAGUGAGCUUCUUGUCUUCUUAAUUAGUCCAGAUACAGGUGUGGUUCUGCUAUCAGAAAGACCGUACAGGCCGGUUAUUUUGUAUGUUCAAGUGUUGCUCAUGGUU